rnacentral:lncRNA from 1 species
CCUAAAGAUUCUAGCAUAUCAUUAUUUUGGGGAAGACCGUGAAAUUCACUAAACGGCCUCCAACAUUCAAAUUAUUUUAUAUAACCAUUCUUGAGGGCCCCGACUUUUAAAAUUUUAUUUGGCGAGUUUCGUCUCAUCAUUUUAUUUAAAAAACUACUCCUAAAGUGACUACGAUUUUUCUAUUUAUUUUGUCUCUAAAAAAAACAAAAGCAGAAGUCCUAAAUAAUUAUUGUUGAGCUAUUAUACUUUUAGAGAAGCAGGACUUGUAUUCAGCCCUAUAAGGAGACAUCGCUAAUCUCAAAAUCAGCCUAGCCUGAAAGCAGGCCCAAUCUUGUAUUAUUGUUGCAACUGGACUGCCUGCGUGGCCCAGUUUUCUUUUACAAAUCUACAAAAAAAUGCAGUCUCAAACAGAAAAUCAGGACCAAAGUAACGAAAGCGUUAUUGUAUUAAAAAUAAACUAACGCCUAUAAAUCAAAGACGUGAAUCCAGUGAUUAAUCAUCUACCAAAAUUUGUCAUCGAUCAAACAGCAUUUCAACUUUAAGUUGGUACUCAGCCUUAGCAGUAACCUAAAGAGCAGGCCUAAAUGCAAUGAUUGGAGUUAGCAAGCAUAUUUAUUAGAAUGAUUUGAGUAUCUAGCCUAAAUGUUAUAACCUUCACACGUAGUGAAAAACUUACUUAACAUUUCAAAUAACUCCUUUAACGAUUAAAUACCCAACAAAUACUGAAACUCAUUACUAUAGGCAAGUAACUCUAUAACAGGCAAUUCACAUAAUUUGUCAGAGUUUAGUAAUCAUGUAUCACCAUCUUAAACACAGGACUCUGAUUUCCAGUUCAUAGGCCAUAACUAAUAUUUAUCCUACCAUCCGAUAUUCAGUCCAGUCAUACAAUCCAAUUUAUAUUAUAAUAAACACCUAAUCAAAUCAUAGCUAAUAUAACAAAAUUAUUAAAAGGUCAAUCUAUAGUAGAUCUGGGGCUUCAAUUUUAGUUCCUGCUCAACAAAUGAAUGUACAUUGACUUAGUCUCAAGUGUGUACCUGCUAGUAUAAAACAACAAGAGAAACGUGAGAAUCAGUAGCAGCUAGCAGAACCAGGAUUCAUCAGCUUCACAAGGCUUAGGAAGAAGGAAAUUUUUCAACCAAAAUACACUGAUUCUACUCAAACUAAACCAGGAAGUCACAUAACAUCGUCUAGCAGUCAAAAAUACUCAGAGAUAGCUCCAACAAACCACCAAACAACUCCAAAUGCUUUUGAAAACUCGAGUUUAAAGCAGAAGUGAAGAAAAUCAAAAAGGAAUUUGAAAAUGUCCUAAAUAAGCAAUGGAACAGUAGAAUGUUUUUUAUUUUUCUGUUUUCUGUUGUUUUUAUUAUUUAUUUUUUUUUGGCAUUUUUUUAAAACUAAAAAGCUACUUCAAAUAUGAAAUCUAUAAUGGCCAGAGUUUUUUGGAGCUAAUAAUGGCUGAAAGUGGAACCCCCUCCCCAAGGAAAAUGCCUCACUAUUUAUAGGUGAACUAAGAUUUAAAAAUUGCCUCUUAGGCCCCUCCCUUUUUUGAUAUUUACCCCCUUUAUUUUUAACUUCUGCACAAGUAACUGCCUCACAUUAGAAAAAAACCAAUUUGACCUUGUUCUAGAAUAUUCUAGGAAGUUCUACUAGUUGCUACUAGGACUGUUUUACGAGAAAAACCUAAACUGCCCCCUCUUCUUAAUUAGAAUUACCUACCUCUUGUCAAUUAAACCAAACUUUAAUAAGUAUACUAAUUCAUCAUGCCAAAUCCUCAAUUAACAACCUUAAGAAAUUAUUCGGAUAACUCUAAUCACCUAGAACUAAAGGAAAUCUACUGAAGUAAGCAAACUGUGUUACCUGAAGCCAAAAAAAACCAAUAUAACCUACAAAUUUAACUAAUCAAUACGUAAUGUAAAAGAACUAUAAUAGAGAUUAAUACUAACUCAAAAAAAAAUGAAGGACAUCUACUGAAUUAAAGCGACUCAAUUAGAAACAACGGUCAAACUAAAUUCUAAUCUUGACUGAAAUAAGAUGAAAGAGAUUAUAUCGAACAAAUAACAAAUGGAACCAAAUAAACACCAAACAAACCCAUAGACUCUAACUAGCAAAACAACUAAUUAACAACUGCUUAAGAAGCCUAGGAAAACUUACUGAUGAAAUAAACUUCGGCUAGUCGUGUUAAUCACAAAUUCGGCCAUGUAUAGGGUCAAUUGAGCUUUAUUGACGAUCUGUUCCUUACGAGGGAGGUCCAGGGACCUUUUGUCAUCAGUUUCAUGCACUGUGUCCAUUUAAUAUUUUUGUCUUGAAGAAUUGAAAUUAAUAUUUGAGCCGUUCCGGCUACAUUCGAGCCAAGCGGCUAUGGAAUUUGUGUAGGGGAUGCCAAGGCGGCCCUAUGGAGUUAUUUUGGGGUGAUUGGGUUAACCGGUGUCAUGGCUGGAAAAUCUGUUAAUGAAAAUUCGAGGAUUUUCGGUAAGGUUUGAGGAAAGCGAAAGGCGGGAAUGGGAAGAGGAUGACCUAGGUAAUUUGUGGUGUUAAUUUGGGAUGGUUUGGAGGUGGUAACAUUCACUGGCGGCGGCUCCGCCGAUGGUGUUACAAGGAGAUAGGAGGAGGGUGGCCCUUGGUCUCUGAUACAAUGAAGGGCUUCAGACAAUUAUAU